AUUGAACGCUGGCGGCAUGCCUUACACAUGCAAGUCGAACGGCAGCACGGGAGCAAUCCUGGUGGCGAGUGGCGAACGGGUGAGUAAUAUAUCGGAACGUGCCCAGUCGUGGGGAUAACGUAGCGAAAGCUACGCUAAUACCGCAUACGAUCUAUGGAUGAAAGCGGGGGAUCGCAAGACCUCGCGCGAUUGGAGCGGCCGAUAUCAGAUUAGGUAGUUGGUGAGGUAAAGGCUCACCAAGCCGACGAUCUGUAGCUGGUCUGAGAGGACGACCAGCCACACUGGGACUGAGACACGGCCCAGACUCCUACGGAGGCAGCAGUGGGGAA
rnacentral:rRNA from 1 species